GCUGUGGGAACUCAUAUAUCAUACCAAUCAUUUAGUCAUUGUUUCAGGUAAUUAACUGUUUUUUUAUUGUGUUUACAUUAUUUUGUGUGCUCAUUGCGGACAUGUACUGAUGAGUAAGAUAAGAAAGUUUAAAGCUAACACAGGGGCAAUUGAUCACUGUGUCACAACGUAUAGAACAGAGACUCUCAGUAAAGAAAGGUUUUAGCUUAUGCCUAGAAGUGCCAAGGGUUGGUAAGUAUGGUUUUAAACUGUUCUGCCUUAACAGUCAUUUAGAUUUUAGCUUAUGCCUAGAAGUGCCAAGGGUUGGUAAGUAUGGUUAUAAACUGUUAUGCCUUAACAGUCAUUUAUUUGAAGUGUGUAUUAUAAUCACAACAGUCAUUUAUUAAAAGUGUUCCUUAUAAAAGUGCUCUAUGACCCUGACAUAUGCCUCAGAUAAUGAUGUGCCUUUCAUAAACAGAUGUGCAGGUGCUAGUCAGAGAUGUGAACAACAGGACGAGGGAGGAAGAUCACUCUGUCCUGAGAAGAUGGGGAGGUGUAAAGGGGGGGUUUGCAUGCCCAGCAGUCUGCCCAGUGGGAACUCAGUGAAAGCUUGGAAUACAUGACGCAAAUAUGAUAAAAGGAGACAAGCGCUGGAUGCAUCCAAGGUCAACUGCCC